UGGGGAAUUUUGCGCAAUGGGGGAAACCCUGACGCAGCAACGCCGCGUGAGUGAUGAAGGCUUUCGGGUCGUAAAGCUCUGUCAGAGGGGAAGAAAUGAGACUGGCUAAUAUCCAGUUUUCUUGACGGUACCCUCAAAGGAAGCACCGGCUAACUCCGUGCCAGCAGCCGCGGUAAUACGGAGGGUGCAAGCGUUGUUCGGAUUUAUUGGGCGUAAAGCGCGUGUAGGCGGUUUCUUAAGUCUGAUGUGAAAGCCCUGGGCUCAACCCAGGAAGUGCAUUGGAUACUGGGAGACUUGAAUACGGGAGAGGGUAGUGGAAUUCCUAGUGUAGGAGUGAAAUCCGUAGAUAUUAGGAGGAACACCGGUGGCGAAGGCGGCUACCUGGACCGAUAUUGACGCUGAGACGCGAAAGCGUGGGGAGCAAACAGG
rnacentral:rRNA from 1 species